ACGCACGCUGGCGGCAUGCCUAACACAUGCAAGUCGAACGAGACCUUCGGGUCUAGUGGCGCACGGGUGCGUAACGCGUGGGAACCUGCCCUUAGGUUCGGAAUAACUCCCAGAAAGGGGUGCUAAUACCGGAUAAUGUCUUCGGACCAAAGAUUUAUCGCCUUUGGAUGGGCCCGCGUUGGAUUAGCUAGUUGGUAGGGUAAAAGCCUACCAAGGCGACGAUCCAUAGCUGGUCUGAGAGGAUGAUCAGCCACACUGGGACUGAGACACGGCCCAGACUCCUACGGGAGGCAGCAGUGGGGAAUAUUGGACAAUGGGCGAAAGCCUGAUCCAGCAAUGCCGCGUGAGUGAUGAAGGCCUUAGGGUUGUAAAGCUCUUUUACCCGGGAUGAUAAUGACAGUACCGGGAGAAUAAGCUCCGGCUAACUCCGUG
rnacentral:rRNA from 1 species